GGGGUGGUAGCCAAGCGGUAAGGCAGUAGUUUUAAGCCUUUUUCAGUAACUUUUCCUUUGGAACGAAGAAUUAGGGUUAUCGUGGGUUCUACCAUUCGUAGGUUCGACUCCUACCCACCCCACCA
rnacentral:tRNA from 1 species